AUUCCAGCUCCGAUAGCAUAUAUUAAAGUUGUUGCAGUUAAAAAGCUCGUAGUUGGAUUUCUGGCAUGAUGCGCCUGGCCCGCCGUGAUUACGCGUGUGUGUGCUAGUGCGCGUCUGCCAUCCAUUGGCAGAAUAUGUCUACCCUUAAUUGGGCCGGAUAUGUGAUGUCAAUCUUUUACUUUGAAAAAAUUAGAGUGUUUAAAGCAGGCAUUUGCUAUGAAUACAUUAGCAUGGAAUAAUAAUCUAGGACUUCGGUUCUAUUUUGUUGGUUUCUAGAUCUGGAGUAAUGAUUGAUAGGGAUAGUUGGGGGUGCUAGUAUUAAGGGGCCAGAGGUGAAAUUCUUGGAUUCCCUUAAGACUAACUUAUGCGAAAGCAUUCACCAAGGAUGUCUUCAUUA
rnacentral:rRNA from 1 species